AUUGAACGCUGGCGGCAGGCUUAACACAUGCAAGUCGAGCGGGGGAAGGUAGCUUGCUACCGGACCUAGCGGCGGACGGGUGAGUAAUGCUUAGGAAUCUGCCUAUUAGUGGGGGACAACAUCUCGAAAGGGAUGCUAAUACCGCAUACGUCCUACGGGAGAAAGCAGGGGAUCUUCGGACCUUUCGCUAACAGCAGAGCCUAAGUCGGAUGAGCUAGUUGGUGGGGUAAAGGCCUACCAAGGCGACGGUCUGUAGCGGGUCUGAGAGGAUGAUCCGCCACACUGGGACUGAGACACGGCCCAGACUCCUACGGGAGGCAGCAGUGGGGAAUAUUGGACAAUGGGGGGAACCCUGAUCCAGCCAUGCCGCGUGUGUGAAGAAGGCCUUAUGGUUGUAAAGCACUUUAAGCGAGGAGGAGGCUACUUUAGUUAAUACCUAGAGAUAGUGGACGUUACUCGCAGAAUAAGCACCGGCUAACUCUGUGCCAGCAGCCGCGGUAA
rnacentral:rRNA from 1 species